rfam:Nicotiana attenuata strain TT chromosome 10, whole genome shotgun sequence.
GCCUUAGGAGACAUCCGUUAAAAUUGGAACAAUACAGAGAAAGUAGCGUGCCCCUACCCAAGGAUGCCAUGUACAAAUUGAGAAAUAACCCAAAAAAAA